rnacentral:rRNA from 1 species
CAGUAGCCGCGGUAAUACGAAGGGUGCAAGCGUUAAUCGGAAUUACUGGGCGUAAAGCGUGCGUAGGCGGUGAGUUAAGUCUGCUGUGAAAUCCCCGGGCUCAACCUGGGAAUGGCAGUGGAUACUGGCUCGCUAGAGUGUGUCAGAGGAUGGUGGAAUUCCCGGUGUAGCGGUGAAAUGCGUAGAGAUCGGGAGGAACAUCAGUGGCGAAGGCGGCCAUCUGGGACAACACUGACGCUGAGGCACGAAAGCGUGGGGAGCAAACAGGAUUAGAUACCCCUGUAGUCCUGUCUCUUAUACA